rnacentral:rRNA from 1 species
UACGUAGGGGGCAAGCGUUGUCCGGAAUCAUUGGGCGUAAAGAGCGCGUAGGCGGCCCGAUAAGUCCGCUGUGAAAGUCAAGGGCUUAACCCUUGAAUGCCGGUGGAUACUGCAGGGCUAGAGUCCGGAAGAGGCGAGUGGAAUUCCUGGUGGUAGAGGUGAAAUUCGUAGAUAUUAGGAAGAACACCAGUGGCGAAGGCGGCUCACUGGCCCGGUACUGACGCUGAGGCGCGAAAGCGUGGGGAGCAAACAGG